CUGGUUGAUCCUGCCAGUAGUAUAUGCUUGUCUCAAAGACUAAGCCAUGCAUGUGAUCAGUGCAGUCCUUGUACGACGAAACUGCGAAUGGCUCAUUAAAACAGUUAUCGUUUAUUUGGUAAUCAUCUACUACAAGGAUAACUGUAGUAAUUCUAGAGCUAAUACUUGCGUUUUCCCGACUUUUCGGAAGGGAUUGCAUUUAUUAGAUACAAACCAGUCGGUGGUUUACCACUGUUAAAUGGUGAUUCAUAAUAACUAAGCGAAUCGCAUGGGCUCGCCCGGCGAUAGACCUUUCAAGUUUCUGAUCUAUCAGCUAUUGACGGUAGGGUAUUGGCCUACCGUGGCGAUGACGGAUAAAGGGGGAUUAGGGUUCGACUCCUGAGAGGGAGCCUGAGAAACGGCUACCACAUCUAAGGAUGGCAGCAGGCGCGCAAAUUACCCAAUCCUGACACAGGGAGGUAGUGACAAGAAAUAACAAUACAGGGCUUCACAGUCUUGUAAUUGGAAUGAGUAGACUUUAAAUCUCUCUACGAGUAACAAUUGGAGGGCAAGUCUGGU
rnacentral:rRNA from 1 species